UUCUAGGACCCCCGCUGAAACGCUGCAUGUGCAUUUUGCCAAAUGGCUUGCUGAUCUCCUUCCCACUUAGAAGCGCUUUCACCGAGGCAUCGUUUUACCUCUGUCUGUCUGAGAGCUGGGCGCAGAUUUUAUUGUGAUCGGAUUUCAGUUUCUGAAAAUCAUUUCUGAACUUCCCAGCGGCAGCGAUUCCUUCAGUAAAGACUUUCAUCAAGCAGUCUUUUGUAAUAUCAGGCAAGUCACCUACCCAAAGCAGAAAAAUCCAGACAUGGAAACAGUAAAAAUAUUUGUCAUGUCGCUAAUUGAAAGAAAGCGAUGACCUUCGUCACACAUUCCAGGCAUAAAUAAUAGCUUGAUCUGUGGUUUCUUGAAUGGGUAUCAGUGGUUAUGAAGAAAGCUAAAUUCACAUCUAUAACACUGCUCUCCAUUUGUGCAUGGUCUCCUGGCAGGGUGUUCAGAAGCAGGCAACCUUCACUGCUACCUUCUCCAAGGCAGCAAAUUACUUGUGUGUUCAACGCUGCUGGUCACAGAAUAAAACCAGCUUUCCAGUGGCAGUCGUGACUGAUAUCUGUAAGGAAUACGGUUCACUUUAAAUAUCAGUUACAGACCGCUUAGUGCAUAAUCAUCUAAAGUGCAUUUGGCGUGAUGCUGCAGGGACUCGCUUUUUGUCCCAUGCUAUCAAGUGAAAUCCAGAGCACGAGUUCAAAUUGAGUGGAAACAUUGUAGAAUCAUCAGUGUUUGUUGAUGGAUUUGUUUAUUUGCUUGUUUUGUUUUGUUUUUUUUAAAAGCAGAAGCUGUCAUCUCUUCUUGCUGGUAAAUCAUUUUAUUAGCUAUUGUAUUUUCACCCAGCAGAAUCUUUAUACCAUGACAAUCUUCCAAAUUAAACGUUAAGAUUCCAGGAAAACUGUAACCGGUGUUUCAAGUCAGACGUGAAGCUAACGAAAGAGGCUGGAGGAGCGCUCCUGGUGCGGCCCUUAGUUUCUGCCUACAGCACAGCGCAAUUCCGUCUGAACGGCUGGGCUGACUUCCCUGGGUUACGUCUAACAGGACAGGAGUUUAAGUAAGGUAAAGCUGAGCAAAUAUCAAUAAACAGCCUUUCACAGGGAGGUUUCUCCUUAGGACUGUUGACUGCGUAACCUCAAAAUCAAUGCCCCAGCCUGUCCUGGCAGGAGGUUUGGAUUCAUCAUCUUGCUCUGUUCUUGAGCUGCCAUGUGGGCACGUCACUUGCUUUUUCCUCCUGUGCUUACCUGUCUGUAAACUGAGGGUGAUUUCUGUCUUCCUACAGCUAAUUCUCUGACAUCUGUAGGUUAAAAAACGCUGCAUAACAGACUGGGCCAUUUCAGGGUUCUGGUGGCCGAUUCAGCACUGAAAAGACAAAGUGGAUGGAAAACCAGAUGAUUGUUUGAUCCCAUGGCCUGGAUGAUGAAGCUGUCUUUCCUGUAACCAAACCUCACUUGGACCCAGUCAGAAAGUGAAAGCUGAAUCAAAGGUUUCAUUUUCACUAGAAAAUGCAAUUUGUUUGGACUGAAAUUUUCAUAGCAAUGCACCUGACUCCAAAAGCAGAUCUUACAGGUAAGAUUGUCAUGGCUAGGAUGGAACUCGGUCAGAUGAGGACAGCAGAGUCAAGUCAGCAGCCCGGAGCCACACGUACCUGUGAACACCUGACUACCAAGUGGGUAGCUGGCCACACAGCUGUUAAAUAUGCAGAAGUAUCUGCUUUUCCAUUGCAUUUUUUUUAGGGCAAAAAUCCACAGAUAACCUUUUGUUUUUCCAAACUAUUGCAGAAUGAAUUCCUGUUUUCUUGUCAAUCCUAAUUCAAAAUCCUCUCCCUGCCCUCUCUCUCCCCCACUCCCAUUUCCUUCAGUAGCCUCUCUGGAGCUGGGAUGGAGACUCGAGCUUAAACCCUGUUACACCUUUGCUGACUCAGUAUCUCACAAAAGACCUUUGCAAAGUCUGCUUAUAAUCGUGCAACAAGGUGACCAGCUGGACAGACUUUGAGCCAGCAUUGGGACGUGAAGUUAAGACAGGAACGUACACCGUUGGUCUUUGGAGGAAGAGCUUUGUCACUAGACCACUCUGUUUUGGGAGAAUAUUUAUCCAAUCUGUCCUGAUGGAGCUAUUCCAACUGAUACAAGAUAUUUCUGGAAGGCAAAGCGAGUUGGAGUCUGUUGGUUGGACCCUUGUUGGAAGACAGCAGACAGCAAUUCUUGCUGGUGUUUUGCUUUGCAGCAUUUCACGUGGGUCUUACCUGGCAGGGGUGCUCUACUACUGCCUGUUCGAUGGAGUCCAUCAGGUGGGGGAGGAAAAAAAAGAGUGGCUGAUUCAUAGUGCCAGAUGGAGCUUUUGCAGACUAGUCCCUGUCUAGACUCAAGGGCCUUCAGGUGCCUUCACCAUCACAGAACAGUUGAUCAGGGUAUCAGAGGCUUUACGUCUGUGCUUUCCCUGAGCUACCAGCUGUGAGUUUUCAGGCUAGGUCUGGACCUCACUGUCUGGUCUGCACCGGGGGGAGCAGAGGAGGGUUUUGCUAUUUGUUUCACCUCCCAUGCUGCAAAGAUACAGCAAAGGACAGAAACCGCACUCAAGUUUCAGCUUUAAACACUGAAAAUAGCUGAAGAGCAGCAAAAGCAUGGUCUGGAGUAGCAGUCUACAGAGCUUAAGUGUUUGGCACGCAGUUACGUGAUGUUUCAGUAGGACUCUUCACAUGCUCCAGUUUAAGCAUCUGUUUAACUCUUUGGCUGACCAAAGCCAAGAACUCUGAACGUUGUAUAAUCCCAUCUCAUGUUCAUACCUGUUAAAGUAUGUAUAUAUCAUCGAUACUGGAUGUCUGGA